rnacentral:rRNA from 1 species
CUUUGGCGGGCCGCGGUCCUCCGCGGCCGCCCUCCGUCCGGGGGGUGGCCAGCGCCCGCCAGAGGACCAUCAAACUCCGGUCAGUGAACGUUGCCGUCUGAAAAACAAUCAAUAAACUAAAACUUUCAACAACGGAUCUCUUGGUUCUGGCAUCGAUGAAGAACGCAGCGAAAUGCGAUAAGUAAUGUGAAUUGCAGAAUUCAGUGAAUCAUCGAAUCUUUGAACGCACAUUGCGCCCCUCGGUAUUCCGAGGGGCAUGCCUGUUCGAGCGUCAUUACAACCCUCAAGCUCUGCUUGGUGUUGGGCACCGCCCUUCCGCGGGCGCGCCUCAAAGACCUCGGCGGUGGCGUCUUGCCUCGAGCGUAGUAGAAAACACCUCGCUUUGGAGCGCACGGCGCCGCCCGCCGGACGAACCUUUUGAACUUUCUCAAGGUUGACCUCG